UACAGAGACUGCAAGCGUUGUUCGGAUUCAUUGGGCGUAAAGGGUGCGUAGGCGGCGCGGUAAGUCGGGUGUGAAAUCUCGGAGCUUAACUCCGAAACUGCAUUCGAUACUGCCGUGCUUGAGGACUGGAGAGGAGACUGGAAUUUACGGUGUAGCGGUGAAAUGCGUAGAUAUCGUAAGGAAGACCAGUGGCGAAGGCGGGUCUCUGGACAGUUCCUGACGCUGAGGCACGAAGGUCAGGGGAGCAAACGGG
rnacentral:rRNA from 1 species